UUAAACUGAAGAGUUUGAUCAUGGCUCAGAUUGAACGCUGGCGGCAGGCUUAACACAUGCAAGUCGAGCGGGGAAGUGUAGCUUGCUACAUUACCUAGCGGCGGACGGGUGAGUAAUGCUUAGGAAUCUGCCUAUUAGUGGGGGACAACAUUCCGAAAGGAAUGCUAAUACCGCAUACGUCCUACGGGAGAAAGCAGGGGAUCUUCGGACCUUGCGCUAAUAGAUGAGCCUAAGUCGGAUUAGCUAGUUGGUGGGGUAAAGGCCUACCAAGGCGACGAUCUGUAGCGGGUCUGAGAGGAUGAUCCGCCACACUGGGACUGAGACACGGCCCAGACUCCUACGGGAGGCAGCAGUGGGGAAUAUUGGACAAUGGGCGGAAGCCUGAUCCAGCCAUGCCGCGUGUGUGAAGAAGGCCUUUUGGUUGUAAAGCACUUUAAGCGAGGAGGAGGCUACUCUAGUUAAUACCUAGAGAUAGUGGACGUUACUCGCAGAAUAAGCACCGGCUAACUCUGUGCCAGCAGCCGCGGUAAUACAGAGGGUGCGAGCGUUAAUCGGAUUUACUGGGCGUAAAGCGUGCGUAGGCGGCUGAUUAAGUCGGAUGUGAAAUCCCUGAGCUUAACUUAGGAAU
rnacentral:rRNA from 1 species